AUUGAACGCUGGCGGCAUGCCUACACAUGCAAGUCGAGCGCGAAAGGGGGCAACCCCGAGUAGAGCGGCGGACGGGUGAGUAAUACAUCGGAACGUACCCAGUAGUGGGGGACAACCUCGAGAAAUCGAGGCUAAUACCGCAUACGACCCACGGGUGAAAGCGGGGGACCGCAAGGCCUCGCGCUAUUGGAGCGGCCGAUGUCCGAUUAGCUAGGUGGCGGGGUAAGAGCCCACCAAGGCGACGAUCGGUAGCUGGUCUGAGAGGACGACCAGCCACACUGGGACUGAGACACGGCCCAGACUCAUACGGGAGGCAGCAGUGGGGAAUUUUGGACAAUGGGGGCAACCCUGAUCCAGCCAUGCCGCGUGCGGGAAGAAGGCCUUCGGGUUGUAAACCGCUUUCGGCCGGAACGAAAUCGCCCGGGUGAACAUCCCGGGUGGAUGACGGUACCGGAAGAAGAAGCACCGGCUAACUACGUGCCAGCAGCCGCGGUAACAC
rnacentral:rRNA from 1 species